GAAAACUUAGUUAAAUUUAUAACAUUAACUUGUCAAGCUAAAAUUACUAAUCAUGUAGUUUUCU
rnacentral:tRNA from 1 species